UGCAGAGUGGGGCUCUGGCUGGGUUCUGAGGCUGGACAGGAGCAGGCACAGCGGCUGCAGCUCUGCUCUCCACACUGCCCGGGGCCCCCGCCACAACCGCGGAGUUUCACGGCUCGGGAAAAGCCCCGUGAGGGCACAGCAGCCCUGGCACAAGGCUGAGGAGUCCCGGCCCGGCGCCUCCUUCCCCUCAGCUCCCGCACCGCCCGUCCCGGGAGAGAGGGGUGAAAGGGCUCCCUGAGGGGACAGCCCCGGGGUCCGACCCCCGAGGACAGGAGAGCCCCAAUCCUCCUUUAGUAGAGGCAGCAACAUGGAGAGUUAAGGAGAAAAUGAAACUGCGCGAGCCGUUUCUGAUCUUGUGGAAAACCAGCAGAUCCGGCCCUGCCCUUCCUGGCAGGAUCUUUCCGGCCUCUCUCUGCCCCUCAGAGAUAAAGAGACGCGCAAGAGGUUGGUGGUGUGCAGUGCCGCGGUCCCACGGACCAGGCUUAGAGCAGACUCACCACAGCUCUCACUGCUGCCGCACCGACCAUGGUUGACGCUUCCCUUGUAUUAGCGGGUGCUUUCGUAAUUUUUGCAUUCGUGGCUGGAGUUACAAUUGUAGCUGUGAUAAAUGGUCGGAAGAUGUCCAUCAAAGUAAAGAGGUCUCGCGCGGGAUCUUUUGAGUUCGGUUUUGACGUUGAGGGGAAAAAAACGACCUGACUCUGCCCUCCAAGCUGCAGCUGAAUGCAUUAUGGCACAGAAACAACGUCCUAUGUUCAAUGCAACGGAGCAAAAUCAAGAUUCCUACCUUCCAAGAAACCUGGUUCAUCCUCAAACGGCAGGUGCUGGAAAGCCAAAUCCUUCCCAGACCUUCUGAUUUCAAUGGUUUGGAUUCAUUUUACUCAUAAAAUCUUGUUAAACAAUAAAUGAACAAUGCCA